UCCCAUCCUCUUCUCACCCUCUCCCCGGUGGCCUCAUCUCUCUCUUCCUCUUAGGGGCUUAGGGCUGGCCGCCGGCGAGCGGGUGCUCCGUCUGGGUUCCCGGCGCGGGAGCGGGCGUGGCGGCCCCGGCUGACCUAGCCCCGGCGCGGCGACCCCGGCCGGCCUAGCCUCGACGCAGGCACGAGCGUGGCGGCACUGGCCGCCCUGGCCCCGGCGCGGCGGCCCCGGGCAGCCCAGCCCCGGCGCGGGCGCGGGCGCGAGCGUGGCAGCACCGGCCGGCUUUGCCUCCUGCUCCUGCUCCCCUGCUCCACGCAGUCGGGGCCAGCUCCCCUACUCCGUGCGGUCGGUGCGAGGAUCUGAAUCCGCCGGCUGCUGGGAGACAACUCGGACAAGUAGAAGCACCAGUUCUUGUCAUCAGGAAACAAAAAAAUUAUUGUAUGCAAGCUGAAUAAGGUGAAUGGGUACAAGAAUGUCAGUCUUGAGCCAGCAACUCCAAAGAGCAGCGCCAAGUCUUGAGCCAUUUUUUAGAACUUCAGUACUUUGAGGCAUUUGGCUUUAGCUCCUGAGAAAAUGUUCUAAGUAUUCCUAAGAUUGUCACCAUUGCUCUACAGUAACUAUAUAUUCUGCUAGUUGCUCCCUUGUUGGCUUCAUUUCUGAACGAAUGGCUAAUCACCUAAUUCAUCUGUAGAGUAUGGUUCCAUUUUAGAGAUAAUUUCUCUUUUUCUUGAUAAAAA